UCUCCAUGGCAAGCAAAAGUCCAGCCCUUUGGGGAAGUGGAAACCUAGCAGCAGAAUGGGGACCCCAGGACCCGGGAGGCCCUCAGCAUUCGGCAGGGGGACCAAGGACAGAAUUCCUCCCAGGGAGGAAGGAAUUAAAGGGAAGAUCAAUCAAACAGCAGGGCAGAGGGUCAAGGCCACCAUUUGAAAGCGGCAAAGGGAUUUCUAAGAAGCCUUCCAGCUCUGACAUCCUACGAUAUUAUGUUUAUGCAAAACGAAUAUCUGCAAGGAAUUUCAACUGGAAAUGUGGAUCUUGCCACUAGCUGAGUCAGUGUGCCAACUCGGAGCUGUCUGGGCUUUCAGUGCUGGCUGGACACAUGGGAAAGAAUCAUCAAAGUGCAAGAAAGGACCUUUGGUCAUUCCAUUAAACCUCAUUUGGCAGAAAAGAAAAUGGUGGGCCUAGGAGAGUAAGUGACUUGUCCAAGGUCAUCGAGCUAGUCAGGCCAAGAUGUUAAUAGUAUUCUUAAGCUAUUUUUUUAAAUGUAUGAAGGGAGUGUAUCUGCCCAACCACCCUUACAAGGCUGUUGGGCUGUGUGUGUGUGUGUGUGUGUGUGUGUGUGUGCGCGUGUGUGUGUGUGUGUGUGUGUGUGUGAGAAAGUGCCUUGUGACCAUAAUCCAUUGUGUAAAUAUAAGAGGUUAUUCUUACUUAUUAUCCCCUCUUGCUUUGUUAUAAUGAUCCUCAUGAAGGUGGAAUAUUCCAGUUUCUUCUUUUCACUUAGUUUCCACUUGGCCUGACUAGCUAGGAGGAGAAAGGAAAUCCAUUUGCAAAUAUGGGUGAUAUAAGAAAACAGCUUAUGUGAAAAAGCCCUAGGGAUUAAUGGAACACUUUUAGACACUGACGUUGGGAGGGUAAGUGACUUCCUCCCAAGCUCACACAAAUAGUCAAAGAGGUAGGUUUAGAAUCCAGGCCUUCUGCCUCGUAAUCCAAUGUUCUUUCAAUCACAUACACACCGGGGCUUCUAACCAGGUUGAUCAAUGGUUAUACCAGGAUGGAAAAAGUAGCCACGUCUUUUCAAUGGGGAUAGCAGCUAGAAA